GUUGGGGUUACAGGUAUGAGCCACCACGUCCGGCCUCGUGUUCUUUUUUAUUAAAGAGAGAAAUCAACUAUUCAGGAUCAGCCCCCACCUUUCCUCAAGAGCCAUUUCUGUUCUGCACAGGCCUGCUGAACUGGGUGCUUUAAAUAGGAUCCACAUAACCACGGUGAAGACCACGGGGGCCGGGGCGAUGAUUCAGCUGGUGAAGGCAUCGUGGGCAGAAGAAUCUUGAACCCAGAAUCCAGAGCAGGUCAAGUCUCCUGAUACAGGUUCUGACUCAUCUCUCAAGUAUCCAUCUUGGAGGGUAUGGACCCCAUAUGACAGUGAGGCUCUCUGCACGCUCCAGAAUAAGGACAUGAAGAAUUUAGUGGACGGUACGUGUUGGGAGGAAAGGGCCAACCACACUGAGCUCAGUUAUGGCACACACAGUGGGACCCAGACAAAGGGAGAGGGUGACCAGCAUCCCAACUAGAUUUCAGUGGAGUGAAGUUCAGGAGGCAUGGAGCUGACGACGAUGAGGCCCUGGCAGCCACAGCAGCAGCAACAAGAGUAACUCUGACUUAGGAACAGAGACAGCCAGAGAGAAAUGUGAUCAAUGAAAGAGACAUCUGGACUGCACGUACUUCUGCAGAGGGGACUGGUGAUAGGCAGAUUGGAAAAAGCACCACAGAUGGGAACCACUUAAUCUUUCUUUUCUAAAAUUGAUGCUAUGAAAAUUUGCGUUUUCUGUAACUUAUAAAAAAACUUAAAGGUUGCCUGUCUACUGAAAAGCCUAUCUGCCUCUAUGGUUUAUACUGUCGGAUGCCAACUCCAGGCCUUCUAAGCCACCUCCCCUUUAGGCUAAAACUGAGACAUGAGCUUGAAGAACUGACACUGGCUUUCCCUCUCUUUGGGGUCCCCAGGCAGGUGGCUGGGACACUAUUAGCAAUCAGCAAGGAACCCUGCCGCCCUUAGACUUCCCACAGAGCAAGCAGAACUGCAGAAUGGGGUAAAAAAACCUCUAUUAAGGUUUUUCAAAUCCAUUUAUAUUGUAAUAAAGUAAAUGUAAAUAAGAUUUAAGUGAAGGCAGAUUGCAGAGAUUUCCGACGCUAUACAAGACAUAUCUCAUAGUAUGGGUGUAAAUUCUGCAAAGGUUAAUGCAGUUAAAAAUAUUUGACACAUAAAAAUGUCAGAUCCAACAUUAAUCAUUCACCAAUUGUAAUUGCCUUUCUGUGGGUCUCUUCUCCCCAAGACAUAUGCUUAAAACACCAGGCUCAGUAGAAAUCUGGGAGGAAAAAAACAAAUAAUACUUCUCAGUUGUCAGAGUCUAUGAUUGCUUUGAUAGAUUUAACACUGACUUCAUUCUCUUUGCAAUUCCGUGUGAUUGAUGUGUGUGUGUGUGUGUGUGUGUGUGUGUGUGUGUGUGUGUGUGUAGGAAGAAGGUGUAGAACAAGAGAACGUUCUUAAGUCCAAAGGAAGUCCAACCCAGUUAUAAAGGGAACACCACUCACAAGCCAUUUUUAUAAUUGUCCCCUUCCUCAGAUAAAGGAGUCCCCUUUAAGGAGCCAGUCUGGCUAAGUAGACCGAACAAAGCCUGGCCCUGACAUGUCUUGAGAAAAACCGGUUUUCACCUCCAGAAUGUGCCCCAGGCAGCAAAAUGUAUCAGCUCUCCAUGGCUGAGUGGUGUUUUUCUUAGGAGCUCACUCUAAAGGAGAUUCCAGCUUUGCGGAUGGAUACCUGCCACUUGCAUGGCCAAGCCCUGUCCCCCAGCCAGUGACCUCUGAGGGACAUGGGUCUCUUCACCUUCCCCCAACUCUUCCCUGGUUUUUGACCCCUGAGCGUCCCAGAUUGCCAGCAGGAACUAAAAGGAAUAAACCUUUCCCCAAAAUA